rnacentral:tRNA from 1 species
GAUUGUAUAGUUUAAAUAAAACAUAACAUUGAAGAUGUUAAAAUCACCACAACCA